rnacentral:rRNA from 1 species
UAGGGAAUCUUCGGCAAUGGACGAAAGUCUGACCGAGCAACGCCGCGUGAGUGAAGAAGGUUUUCGGAUCGUAAAACUCUGUUGUUAGAGAAGAACAAGGACGUUAGUAACUGAACGUCCCCUGACGGUAUCUAACCAGAAAGCCACGGCUAACUACGUGCCAGCAGCCGCGGUAAUACGUAGGUGGCAAGCGUUGUCCGGAUUUAUUGGGCGUAAAGCGAGCGCAGGCGGUUUCUUAAGUCUGAUGUGAAAGCCCCCGGCUCAACCGGGGAGGGUGAUUGGAAACUGGGAGACUUGCGUGCAGAAGAGGAGGGUGGAAUUCCAUGUGUAGCGGUGAAAUGCGUAGAUAUAUGGAGGAACACCAGUGGCGAAGGCGGAUCUCUGGUCUGUAACUGAAGCUGAGGCUCGAAAGCGUGGGGAGCAAACAGG